AUUGAACGCUGGCGGCAGGCCUAACACAUGCAAGUCGAACGAGUGGCGGACGGGUGAGUAAUGUCUGGGAAACUGCCCGAUGGAGGGGGAUAACUACUGGAAACGGUAGCUAAUACCGCAUACCAUCGGAUGUGCCCUGAUGGGAUUAGCUAGUAGGUGGGGUAAUGGCUCACCUAGGCGACGAUCCCUAGCUGGUCUGAGAGGAUGACCAGCAACACUGGAACUGAGAAACGGUACAGACUCCUACGGGAGGCAGCAGGGGGGAAUAUUGGAAAAUGGGCGAAAGCCGGAUGCAGCAAUGCCGCGUGGAUGAAGAAGGCCUUCGGGUGGUAAAGUACUUUCAGCGAGGAGGCGUUACUCGCAGAAGAAGCACCGGCUAACUCCGUGCCAGCAGCCGCGGUAAUUC
rnacentral:rRNA from 1 species